rnacentral:rRNA from 1 species
UACGAAGGGGGCUAGCGUUGCUCGGAAUCACUGGGCGUAAAGCGCACGUAGGCGGCUUUCUAAGUCAGGGGUGAAAUCCUGGAGCUCAACUCCAGAACUGCCUUUGAUACUGGAGAGCUUGAGUUCGGGAGAGGUGAGUGGAACUGCGAGUGUAGAGGUGAAAUUCGUAGAUAUUCGCAAGAACACCAGUGGCGAAGGCGGCUCACUGGCCCGAUACUGACGCUGAGGUG